UCGAGAAUCUUCCGCAAUGGGCGAAAGCCUGACGGAGCGACGCCGCGUGUAGGAUGAAGGCCCUCGGGUUGUAAACUACUGUCACGGGUUAUGAAUGCACAUAUGUAAACAGCGUAUGUAUUGACGUAAGCCCGAAAGGAAGCACCGGCUAACUCUGUGCCAGCAGCCGCGGUAAUACAGAGGGUGCAAACGUUGUUCGGAAUUACUGGGCAUAAAGCGCGCGUAGGCGGCGACGUAAGUGUAGGGUGAAAUCCCACGGCUCACCCGUGUGAAUUGCCCCGCAUACUGCGUUGCUCGAGUGUGGUAGGGGAGAGCGGAACUCCUGGUGGAGCGGUGAAAUGCGUAGAUAUCAAGAGGAACACCUGAGGUGAAGACGGGUUGCUGGGCUGACACUGACGCUGAGGCGCGAAAGCCAGGGGAGCAAACGGGAUUAGAUACCCCAGUAGUCCCUGAGCGGGCUGGCAAGGCGCAU
rnacentral:rRNA from 1 species